rnacentral:rRNA from 1 species
UCCGGCACUUUGUGUUGGUACUUUCCUGUCUCUUGCCAUCCUUGGGUCUAAGCUGUCUGGCAUUUAGUUGUCGGGCAGUGGCUGCCCAUCGUUUACUGUGAAAAAAUUAGAGUGUUCAAAGCAGGCUUAUGCCGUUGAAUAUAUUAGCAUGGAAUAAUAAGAUAGGACCUUGGUACUAUUUUGUUGGUUUGCGCACCGAGGUAAUGAUUAAGAGGGACAGUUGGGGGUAUUCGUAUUCAAUUGUCAGAGGUGAAAUUCUUGGAUUUCUGGAAGACGAACUACUGCGAAAGCAUUUACCAAGGAUGUUUUCAUUAAUCAAGAACGAAAGUUAGGGGAUCGAAGAUGAUUAGAUACCAUCGUAGUCUUAACCAUAAACUAUGCCGACUAGGGAUUUGUGGGUGUUAUUUUUGACCCCAUGAGCACCUUAUGAGAAAUCAAAGUCUUUGGGUUCCGGGGGGAGU